rnacentral:rRNA from 1 species
UACGUAGGGUCCGAGCGUUGUCCGGAAUUAUUGGGCGUAAAGGGCUCGUAGGCGGUUCGUCGCGUCGGGAGUGAAAACUCGGAGCUCAACUCCGAGCCUGCUUCCGAUACGGGCAGACUAGAGGUAGGCAGGGGAGAGCGGAACUCCUGGUGUAGCGGUGGAAUACGCAGAUAUCAGGAAGAACACCGGUGGCGAAGGCGGCUCUCUGGGCCUUACCUGACGCUGAGGAGCGAAAGCGUGGGGAGCGAACAGG